AAUCAACGCUGGCGGCAUGCCUUACACAUGCAAGUCGAACGGUAACGGGCCUUCGGGUGCCGACGAGUGGCGAACGGGUGAGUAAUGUAUCGGAACGUACCUUUCAGUGGGGGAUAACGUAGCGAAAGUUACGCUAAUACCGCAUAUUCUGUGCGCAGGAAAGCAGGGGAUCGCAAGACCUUGCGCUGAUUGAGCGGCCGAUAUCAGAUUAGCUAGUUGGUGAGGUAAAGGCUCACCAAGGCGACGAUCUGUAGCGGGUCUGAGAGGAUGCUCCGCCCCACCGGAACGGAGACACGGUCCAGACUCCUACGGGAGGCAGCAGUGGGGAAUUUUGGACAAUGGGGGCAACCCUGAUCCAGCCAUGCCGCGUGAGUGAAGAAGGCCUUCGGGUUGUAAAGCUCUUUCGGCCGGGAAGAAAUCGUAUCAGCUAAUACCUGGUGCGGAUGACGGUACCAGCAUAAGAAGCACCGGCUAACUACGUGCCAGCCGCCGCUGUAAGAC
rnacentral:rRNA from 1 species